CAAUGUUUAGUUAAAAUAAUAUAAAUUUGUCAAAUUUAAGUUGU
rnacentral:tRNA from 1 species